rnacentral:rRNA from 1 species
GACGGAGGGUGCUAGCGUUGUUCGGAAUUACUGGGCGUAAAGGGCGCGUAGGCGGCCCUGUCAGUCGGGUGUGAAGGCCCGGGGCUCAACCCCGGAACGGCACCCGAGACGGCGGGGCUGGAGACCGGGAGAGGAGGGUGGAAUAGCCAGUGUAGAGGUGAAAUUCGUAGAUAUUGGCUGGAACACCGGUGGCGAAAGCGGCUCUCUGGCCCGGUUCUGACGCUGAGGCGCGAAAGCGUGGGGAGCAAACAGG